rnacentral:rRNA from 1 species
GAUGAACGCUGGCGGCGUGCCUAAUACAUGCAAGUCGAGCGAACGGACGAGAAGCUUGCUUCUCUGAUGUUAGCGGCGGACGGGUGAGUAACACGUGGAUAACCUACCUAUAAGACUGGGAUAACUUCGGGAAACCGGAGCUAAUACCGGAUGAUAUUUUGAACCGCAUGGUUCAAAAGUGAAAGACGGUCUUGCUGUCACUUAUAGAUGGAUCCGCGCUGCAUUAGCUAGUUGGUAAGGUAACGGCUUACCAAGGCAACGAUGCAUAGCAGACCUGAGAGGGUGAUCGGCCACACUGGAACUGAGACACGGUCCAGACUCCUACGGGAGGCAGCAGUAGGGAAUCUUCCGCAAUGGGCGAAAGCCUGACGGAGCAACGCCGCGUGAGUGAUGAAGGUCUUCGGAUCGUAAAACUCUGUUAUUAGGGAAGAACAUAUGUGUAAGUAACUGUGCACAUCUUGACGGUACCUAAUCAGAAAGCCACGGCUAACUACGUG